rnacentral:rRNA from 1 species
GGUCUGGCGGCAGCUACACAUGCAGUCGAGCGGAUGAAGAGAGCUUGCUCUCUGAUUCACGGCGGACGGGUGAGUAACGCCUAGGAAUCUGCCUAUUAGUGGGGGACAACGUUUCGAAAGGAACGCUAAUACCGCAUACGUCCUACGGGAGAAAGCAGGGGACCUUCGGGCCUUGCGCUAAUAGAUGAGCCUAGGUCGGAUUAUCUAGUUGGUGAGGUAAUGGCUCACCAAGGCGACGAUCCGUAACUGGUCUGAGAGGAUGAUCAGUCACACUGGAACUGAGACACGGUCCAGACUCCUACGGGAGGCAGCAGUGGGGAAUAUUGGACAAUGGGCGAAAGCCUGAUCCAGCCAUGCCGCGUGUGUGAAGAAGGUCCUCGGAUUGUAAAGCACUUUAAGUUGGGAGGAAGGGCAUUAACCUAAUACGUUAGUGUUUUGACGUUACCGACAGAAUAAGCACCGGCUAACUUCGUGCCAGCAGCCGCGGUAAUACGAAGGGUGCAAGCGUUAAUCGGAAUUACUGGGCGUAAAGCGCGCGUAGGUGGUUUGUUAAGUUGGAUGUGAAAGCCCCGGGCUCAACCUGGGAACUGCAUCCAAAACUGGCAAGCUAGAGUAUGGCAGAGGGUGGUGGAAUUUCCUGUGUAGCGGUGAGAUGCGUAGAUAUAGGAAGGAACACCAGUGGCGAAGGCGACCACCUGGGCUAAUACUGACACUGAGGUGCGAAAGCGUGGGGAGCAAACAGGAUUAUAUACCCUGGUAGUCCACGCCGUAAACGAUGUCGACUAGCCGUUGGGAUCCUUGAGAUCUUAUUGGCGCAGCUAACGCAUUAAGUCGACCGCCUGGGGAGUACGCCGCAAGGUUAAAACUCUAUGAAUUGACGGGGGCCCGCACAAGCGCUGUAGCAUGUGUGUUAUUCUAAGCACGCGAGACUACAGUCUCGACAUGCAGAGACUUUCCAGAGAUGGAUUGUGCCUUCUGGAACUCUGACAC